rnacentral:tRNA from 1 species
GGGGGUGUAGCUCAGAUGGGAGAGCACCUGCUUUGCAAGCAGGGGGUCACCGGUUCGAUCCCGGUCAUCUCCACCA